rnacentral:tRNA from 1 species
GGAUAAAUGACUGAGCGGUCGAAAGUGCUAGUUUUGAAAACUAUACUAUCCAAAAAAUAGCGUGAGUUCGAAUCUCACUUUAUCCU